rnacentral:misc_RNA from 1 species
GAUGAAGAACGUAGCGAAAUGCGAUAAGUAAUGUGAAUUGCAGAAUUCAGUGAAUCAUCGAAUCUUUGAACGCACAUUGCGCCCAUUAGUAUUCUAGUGGGCAUGCCUGUUCGAGCGUCAUUAAGUCCACUUAAGCCCUGCUUAGUGUUGGGAGACUGCUCCAGCGGUGCUACCCUGUAGCUACCCUGCAGCUCCUCAAAGACAGCGGCGGAGUUGUGGUAUCCUCUGAGCUUAGUAACUUGUUCUAGCUUUCGAGUACACCACUUCCCCUGCCGUAAAACUCUUAAUUUUUAAUGGUUGACCUCGGAUCAGGUAGGAAUACCCGCUGAACUUAAGCAUAUCAAUAAGCGGAGGA